UACGUAGGUGGCAAGCGUUGUCCGGAAUUAUUGGGCGUAAAGCGCGCGCAGGUGGUUCCUUAAGUCUGAUGUGAAAGCCCACGGCUCAACCGUGGAGGGUCAUUGGAAACUGGGGGACUUGAGUGCAGAAGAGGAAAUUGGAAUUCCACGUGUAGCGGUGAAAUGUGUAGAGAUGUGGAGGAACACCAGUGGCGAAGGCGACUUUCUGGUCUGUAACUGACACUGAGGCGCGAAAGCGUUUGGAGCGAACAGG
rnacentral:misc_RNA from 1 species